GACGUUAGCUGCAGAAGAAGCACCGGCUAACUCCGUGCCAGCAGCCGCGGUAAUACGGAGGGUGCGAGCGUUAAUCGGAAUUACUGGGCGUAAAGCGCAUGCAGGUGGUUGUUAAGUCAGAUGUGAAAGCCCGGGGCUCAACCUCGGAAUUGCAUUUGAAACUGGCAAACUAGAGUACUGUAGAGGGGGUAGAAUUUCAGGUGUAGCGGUGAAAUGCGUAGAGAUCUGAAGGAAUACCGGUGGCGAAGGCGGCCCCCUGGACAGAUACUGACACUCAGAUGCGAAAGCGUGGGGAGCAAACAGGAUUAGAUACCCUGGUAG
rnacentral:rRNA from 1 species